rnacentral:rRNA from 1 species
AGGAUCAUUAGUGAAUUGGCCUAUGGCCUUUAAACUAUUCCAAACCACUGUGAACCGUUUGCCCUCGGGCAACAAUUUUUUUAAACAAUGUGUAAUGAAUGUAUAAUAUAUUUAACAAUAUAAAACUUUCAACAACGGAUCUCUUGGCUCUCGCAUCGAUGAAGAACGCAGCGAAAUGCGAUAAGUAAUGUGAAUUGCAGAAUUCAGUGAAUCAUCGAAUCUUUGAACGCACCUUGCGCCUUUUGGUAUUCCGAAAGGCAUGCCUGUUUGAGUGUCAUGAAAUAUCAAUCCUUGGGGUUUCCCAAAAGAUUGGAUUUGGGUGUCUGCCAUUUGCUUGGCUCACCUCAAAGGUGUCAGUGGAUAGCUCCAUUAGCUUGACGUAAUAAGUUUCGUCCUGCAAUUGGCUUUGCUGUUUGCUCAUAACAAACCAUAUUUUAUGCUCUGACCUCA